rnacentral:rRNA from 1 species
UACGUAGGGGGCAAGCGUUGUCCGGAAUCAUUGGGCGUAAAGAGCGUGUAGGCGGUCCGAUAAGUCCGCUCUGAAAGCCCGGGGCUCAACCCCGGGAGGCGGGCGGAUACUGUCGGGCUAGAGUCCGGAAGAGGCAAGUGGAAUUCCUGGUGUAGCGGUGAAAUGCGCAGAUAUCAGGAAGAACACCUAUGGCGAAAGCAGCUCUCUGGGACGGUACUGACGCUGAGACGCGAAAGCGUGGGGAGCGAACAGG